UACGUAGGGGGCAAGCGUUGUCCGGAAUCAUUGGGCGUAAAGCGCGUGUAGGCGGCCAGAUAAGUCCGCUGUGAAAUCUCGAGGCUCAACUUCGAGCUGUCGGUGGAAACUGUCUGGCUAGAGUCCGGAAGAGGAGAAUGGAAUUCCUGGUGUAGCGGUGAAAUGCGCAGAUAUCAGGAGGAACACCCGUGGCGAAGGCGGUUCUCUGGGACGGUACUGACGCUGAGACGCGAAAGCGUGGGGAGCGAACAGG
rnacentral:rRNA from 1 species